rnacentral:rRNA from 1 species
AGCGAACGCUGGCGGCAGGCCUAACACAUGCAAGUCGAACGAACUCUUCGGAGUUAGUGGCGGACGGGUGAGCAACACGUGGGAACGUGCCUUUUGGUUCGGAAUAACUCAGGGAAACUUGUGCUAAUACCGAAUGUGCCCUUCGGGGGAAAGAUUUAUCGCCAUUAGAGCGGCCCGCGUCUGAUUAGCUAGUUGGUGAGGUAACGGCUCACCAAGGCGACGAUCAGUAGCUGGUCUGAGAGGAUGACCAGCCACACUGGGACUGAGACACGGCCCAGACUCGUAGGGGAGGAAUCGGGGGGGAGUCUUGCGCAGGGGGAGAACGCCUGACGCAGCCAUGCCGCGUGAGUGAGGAGGGGCUUAUGAUUUAAAAAUUGUGGCGGGGAGACUGAGAAGGACGGCACGCGGAGAAGACGCCCCGGAGAACUCCGAGGCAGCAGAGGCGGUAAUAGUCGAGGAGCAGACGUCGGAGC